UACAGAGGUCUCAAGCGUUGUUCGGAUUCAUUGGGCGUAAAGGGUGCGUAGGUGGCGCGGUAAGUCGGGUGUGAAAUUUCGGAGCUUAACUCCGAAACUGCAUUCGAUACUGCCGUGCUUGAGGACUGGAGAGGAGACUGGAAUUUACGGUGUAGCAGUGAAAUGCGUAGAGAUCGUAAGGAAGACCAGUGGCGAAGGCGGGUCUCUGGACAGUUCCUGACACUGAGACACGAAGGCCAGGGGAGCAAACGGG
rnacentral:rRNA from 1 species